CUUUUGAUAAUAAUUUAAGGUCUAACCUGCCCAAUGAAAUUUUAAAUGGCCGCGGUAUUUUGACCGUGCAAAGGUAGCAUAAUCAUUUGUUUUUUAAUUGAAAGCUGGAAUGAAAGGUUGAAUGAGAAAAUAACUGUCUCUAUUUAAUUUUAUUAGAAUUUUAUUUUUAAGUUAAAAAGCUUAAAUAAAUUUUGAAGACGAGAAGACCCUAUAGAGUUUAAUAUUUAUUUUAUUUGAAUAAUUUGGUAAUAAAAUUUUUAAGUAAAGUAUUUAUUUGAUUGGGGUGAUUAAAAAAUUAAAUAAACUUUUUUUGUAUUUAAUCAUUGAUUUAUGAAUAAUUGAUCCUUUUAUAAAGAUUAAAAGAUUAAAUUACCUUAGGGAUAACAGCGUAAUUUUUUUUUAGAGUUCAAAUCGAAAAGAAAGAUUGCGACCUCGAUGUUGGAUUAAAAUUAAUUUUUGGUGUAGAAGCUAAA
rnacentral:rRNA from 1 species